AAAGGAAUAGACGGGGCCCCGCACAAGCAGCGGAGCGUGUGGUUUAAUUCGAGGCUACGCGAAGAACCUUACCUGGGUUUGACAUCCCCUGACGGCGUAUGAAAGUACGUUUCCGAAAGGCAGGGAGACAGGUGCUGCAUGGCUGUCGUCAGCUCGUGUCGUGAGAUGUUCGGUUAAGUCCGAAAACGAGCGCAACCCCCGGGUCUAGUUACAAGUGUCUAGACCGACUGCCUGCGACAAGUGGGAGGAAGGUGGGGAUGACGUCAAGUCAGCAUGGCCUUUACAUCCAGGGCUACACACACGCUACAAUGGCGCGCACAAUGGGAAGCAAGACCGCGAGGUGGAGCAAAUCCUGAAAGCGCGUCGUAGUUCGGAUUGCAGGCUGCAACUCGCCUGCAUGAAGCUGGAGUUGCUAGUAAACGCAGGUCAGCACACUGCGUUGAAUACGUUCUCGGGGCUUGUACACACCGCCCGU
rnacentral:rRNA from 1 species